GAAGCUUCUUGGGAGCAAGGCUCAAGUCUUUUGUACUUCGCAUUUGGAUCCCAGCUCUGCCACUUAGAAGUGAUGUGACCUUGGCAAAGGUCACUAAAACUUGGUAACAAUGGAUGAAUAAUAUUACCUGCCUGAAGAGUAAAUGAGAAACGCCACAUGAAGGCCUUAGCACAGUGCCUGACAUGAAGAAUAUUUGUUUGUUUGUUUGAAGCCAUUGAACCAGGAGAAAAAAAUUACUUUUUCCCACUUUGGAGACACCUUGUGGACAAUCCAUUGAGAAUUCCGUAACAUACAGUUAACAACCAUUUUGAAGGCCAACACAUUGUCGGGCCUUGGACCAGGCUUUGGAGAUGAAAAUAAAGAAGAUGGGAGUUUUCUUUUAUUAUUCAUCAGACCGAAGGGUGUGGUCAUCAAACCUGGUCCAAGGGAAGAAUAACUGGAUUGGACUCCUGCCUCUGACAGGUGAUGGCAGAACAGUCGCCUAUGGUCGCUGCGUCUCAGGUUCCUAACCUGUACCCUUAGUGAUGGGCAUGGAUGAUCUCGCUGGGCCAUCCAGCUCUAACGCUGGACGUUGGCGAGUCUGUGAGCACAGGCAGAAUCACGAGUAACUGGAAGAAUCUUGCUCCCGUGUUCUCAGAAGAGCCUGGCCAGCGUGGACCAUGCCAGACAAGAUGGAGACACCUUCACGGCCUGUUAGUCACAUCUCACCAAAGCUUCUCAACGGGCUGUCAGACAAGAAAGGAGCCUCCUGUAGCCACCUUAAUCAGCAUCCGCCAUCUGUGAGGUCAUCGGGAUGUUUCCCUUUGCAGCUCUCAUUAGUUGAGCGUUUUCCACAGGCAAGUCCUUAUCUUUUGUACCUUUGGCUGCCCCAUCCUGGGAAAGCCUUUCU